CGCGAGGACACGACAGAAAGCGGAGUCUCUUCAGUACUUCCGGAACUCGGUGGGUUCCGUUCCCCCUUUCCCCGCAGUUUUUCUAGAGAGCGGAAGGAAAGAGCGGCGUUCCUUGACGUCGCCGGCCUGAGCCUUCGGAAGAGACAAGAGGGACAGUGGGGAGACUGCCCAAACCGAGAGGAUGGUGACGGACGUGCAACUGGCUAUCUUUGCCAAUAUGCUUGGAGUCUCGCUGUUUCUCCUGGUCGUCCUUUAUCACUACGUGGCCGUCAACAAUCCGAAGAAGCAGGAGUGAGCGAAUGACCGGAGCGUCCCCUCCUUACCCCCAUCCCCAAAGAAUGCAGAGCCAUCAGCACAUGAAGGCCCAGAUGCUAUAGCUGUACUUUGGCUUUGUUGAAACCCUGAAGAUAAUAAAUGACUAGAGAAUACACUUCA